UCCGCACGAGCGCAACCCUCGACCUUAGUUGCCAGCAUUCAGUUGGGCACUCUAAGGUGACUGCCGGCUAAAAGUCGGAGGAAGGUGGGGAUGACGUCAAAUCAUCAUGCCCCUUAUGACCUGGGCUACACACGUGCUACAAUGGGCGGUACAAAGGGGUCGCGAACCCGCGAGGGGGAGCCAAUCCCAAAAAAGCCGCUCUCAGUUCGGAUUGCAGGCUGCAACUCGCCUGCAUGAAGCCGGAAUCGCUAGUAAUCGCGGAUCAGCAUGCCGCGGUGAAUACGUUCCCGGGCCUU
rnacentral:rRNA from 1 species